rnacentral:lncRNA from 1 species
UUCAGGGUUACUAGGCGGUGUGGGAAGCCGAGUAGCUAUCUCAGACGGUUUGAGGAACGAUCCAGAUCCAUUGACGUCAUCACGAGCAGCUAAGUAGAGAGCGUCGAUGACACCGAGCUCAAUGGCGGCUUUGAAAACCAUGGGGAAGGUAAUGUAAUUGGCUAGCCUCACUGCCCUCAAACCAAGCUCGGUCUCAUCAUCUCCAUUAAUCUCAUUCAUGGUUUUAGGGUCUAAAAGGUGUCCCAUUAUUGAUUUUGCUUUCUCCUCGGUGAAGCUAAUGUUCUAAGAUGAAAAGAAAGAGAAGAGAAUAUGUUUUCUCUUCAUGCAUCUUUGUGCUUCCUUUUAUAGGCGAAUAAUUGAUUAAACCUCAUCAUCGAUGUCUAUGAUAAUUUAAUUGUAAUUAUUUUGAUGUAAAACUAACAUAAAAUAUAAAAGAGAAGGGGAUGAUCUUCUUAUGCAUAAAAAAAAAUUAAGCAUUAUUUAUCUUGUUUUGUUUGCUUGACGGUCCACUAUGGAUGGCCGAAGAGUAGUUAUUUUGAAUAUUAGCCUAAAAUAGUUGGCAAUCACAUCACUGAGGACUGGGGGGACGCAGGUGAAGUUCACGUGUGGCAUGUGGUCCGCACUAUUUUUUUGUUUAUCUUCAAUAAUUAAUACUAUGUAAAUACCUUUAAUUUAAAUGGUCUUUUUAAAAAUGAAUGUAGUAAAAUGUUCUGUUUGUCAUCAAGGUUUCAUGUUGUCUUUAAGUUGCCCUAAUUAUGUAUGUUUUUUUUUUUGGUAGGAUCCCUAAUUAUGUAUGUUAGUUCAAGCUGAAAAAUGUAUGAGUCUCUGUUCUUGUAUAAUUAUAAAAAAGUUUCUUCUGUUCUCUGUUUCAUGUUAUGUGUUGUAUGUCUUUAUGUUUCACGUUUUAAUAAUUGUGUGUGAUGUGUUUCUGUUUCUUUGUGCAGAGAAAUGAAGAGAGUGUCUGUUUGUGUCACAAGUGGACACAAGAUGCACGUUCAGUCACAAGAGCAUGCAGAGAUAUGAAGAGAAGUUUGUUUGUUUGUGUCACGAGCUGUGUAUGUGGGCUUCUCAAAGUCACGAGUGUGUCUUAUUAUGUAAAUAUUAUCUUUGCUUUUUCUAGGUUGUUGUUUUCCUAUAGUCACGAGUGUAAUAUGUUAUGUCUUUUGUUAUAUAAAAGGUUCAUUCACGAAGCAUUUGAAUCAGAAAUUCCUCUUCUCUUCUUCUCACCAACUACAAAAGAAUAAAUCGUUGCUUCUUCUCCUUCUCUCCCAAAGUUUCAUUCUUUACUAAGUUUUUUUCUCCGAAAGUCUCUCCUUGAAACUAUUUUUUUUUAAAAAACUUUCCAUCUCUUCAUCACAAAUAUGGCUUCUUCAUCACAUAACACUUUUGAGGGAGAGGGAGUUGAUGAUGAAACGUUUGAUCAAUAUUUCGAUCAAACGUUUGAAAAUUUAUCCAUUGAGUGUGAUCGAGAAGUCGGAAGAAAAAAAAGAAAAAAACGAGUCCAUAUCGAACGGAAUCGUGAAGAAGGCGAUGCACGUUUAUGGAAAAAUUAUUUCAGUGAAACUCCGACAUAUCCUGAAAAUCUCUUCCGACGACGAUUUAGAAUGAACAGGUCAUUGUUCAUGCGUAUUGUUCAUGGACUCUCCAAUGAAGUUGAAUACUUUCGAAAAAAGAAGAUGCUCUCGGAAGGCUUAGUCUCUCUGCACUUCAAAAGUGUACAGCCGCCAUUCGUGUUUUGGCCUAUGGUUCUGCGGCUGAUGUUGUUGACGAAUACCUCCGCCUUGGUGAAACUACCGCUCGAGCAUGUGUGGAACAUUUUGUAGAAGGAGUAAUAAAUUUAUUCGACGAUGAGUAUCUAAGAAGACCAACACCGGCUGAUCUUCAACGUCUACUUUAUAUUGGUGAGCAACGUGGAUUUCCCGGGAUGAUAGGAAGCAUCAAUUGUAUGCAUUGGGAGUGAAAGAAUUGUCCCACCGCUUGGAAAGGAUAAUAUUCACGUGGUUCGGGGAAACCCACAAUCUUUUUAGAGGCGGUCGCUUCGUAUGAUCUUUGGAUAUGGCAUGCGUUUUUUGGACCUCCAGGUACCUUAAAUGAUAUCAAUGUUCUUGAUCGCUCACCUGUUUUUGAUGACAUUAUAUAAGGUCAAGCUCCGCAAGUUACUUACUCUGUCAAUGGAAGAGAGUAUCAUAUGGCUUACUAUCUCACCGAUAGUAUUUAUCCGAAAUGGACAAUUUUUAUCCAAUCUAUUUCAAUACCACAAGGUCUGAAAGCGACUUUAUUUGCUCAAUAUCAAGAAGCUGUCCGAAAAGAUGUCGAGCGUGCUUUUGGAGUAUUGCAAGCUCGUUUGGCCAUUGUUAAAAAUCCAGCACUUUUUUGGGAUAAAGACAAAAUUUGGAGGAUUAUGGGAGCAUGUAUCAUACUCCAUAAUAUGAUAGUAGAAGACGAACGAGAUGGAUACAGUCAUUUUAAUGUUUCAGAGUUCCAACCAGAACAAGACACCGGAACUUCACAGGUCGAUCUCACGUAUUCUACAGAUAUACCUUCAAAUAUCACUAAUAUGAUGGGUGUUCGAACUAGAAUUCGUGAUAGACAAAUGCAUCAACAGCUCAAAGCUGAUUUGGUUGAACAUUUGUGGAGUAAAUUUGGACGUGAUGAAGACAAGAACUGAGUUUGAAAAGUUUCUUUCAAAAUAUUCUCGAUUAUUGUACUAGCCUUUAUUUUUAUUUUUUCUUUUUUAAAUCUAUGUUUUAAAUGUUAUCUUUUAAUAUGUUUUUUAAUAAAUAAAUUUUAUCUUUAAAAAAAAAAAUUAGAAACCUUAAUUAAAAAACUCCCAUUGGACCGCUAAAAAUGAUAGUUUCUUAACAACAAUCCUUAACCCCACUUAAGUAGAGUUAAAAUAUUAAAUAAUCACUAAAAACCCCCUUAAGGAUCGAGGGAUAAUUAUGCUCUUAGAGUUUGAACAGUGUUACGUUAAUUUUUUUUUUAAUAUUUCUUUUGUUUUAGUGAAUGGUAGACUUGUAAAUAAGUCUUCUUCUUCCUCGGUUUCGUGAAACAGAAAAAAAUAGACGAUGCAGGAACAAGAUUCAACUUUAUUUUGUUUAGAACGAGAUCUCAAUCCCCUUUGGAUUUUGUCUCCACCUCUCACUUUUUCUCUUGAUUUCGUGACAAAUGCUUUCGAUUAGGAUUCAGACCAAAGGAUCUUGGGCUUAAUUGCGUAAAACGUUUUGGAUCUAGGCGCCCGCGUUUCACAAAUACACUGGAUACGCGGAAACAAUUCGCCUUACCGCACAGAGCACCCGAUCAGACCCUUUUCGCCACGGCCAUGCUCCGCUCACCGUAUACGCGUCCUAGUAAUCGUCAACUCGCCCGUGUUUUCGAACACGGCUUUUAACUACUCGAGUGACGUGUUUAUUUUUUUUAAUGUCUUUUUUUUUCCAACGAGGGCUUUAAUUGAGUUCUUACAACUGAAUUCGGACGAAUAGCGAUCAUCAAAUAAUGGAAAAAUGAUUGCUCACUACAUGAAGUAUUGGCCAUCACAUAGCUAACCUUGUAAACUAAACUAAUAUAUACUUAGUCACACGAAGUAUAUCUUAUGCAUGACAACAUAAACUGAUGCGGAUGUUAGAGAUCGUUUAAAUAUAUUUUUUCAACAACUAAAGUAUGAUCGACCUGACUAUAAUUUAAUCACACUUAGAUUUUGACCCACAUUUUCAAAACGUAAGAAUAUUUUUAACAAAAUCUAAUUUACAAAAUCAAUAUUUUUUAUAAGUAGUAUUUUAACAUUUUUAUUUUAGUGUAUUUAAAAACUAUAUAAUUGUAUUAUUUUUAGUUUCAUUAAUCUGUUUUGUUAUGAACUUUUAAUAAGUAAUGUUUUAACAUUUUUAUUUUUGUGUUUUAACCUUUUUUAUUUUAGUGUAUUUUAAAACUAUAUAAUUAUAUUAUUUUUAUAUUUAUUAAUCUGUUUUGUUUUUUAAUUAUAUUAAUCUAUUUGUUAUGAACUUUUAAUAAAAAAAAAUGUAAUUCGUUUGAUUAAUUGUGUGAUAUAUACUUCUUUGAUAAUUUUUUAAUUAUGAAACUUAUUUUCUGUCAAUUUAUUAACUUUAACAUUUUAUUUGCUUAAAACUUAUGUGAUGUCAACUUAAACCAAACAUAAUCUUGCGUAUAUAAUUAGAAAUUAUAUACUUUUAAGAAUAAAAAUAAUCAAAGAAUAGGAAUCUAAUGUGAAAGUUUUACUAAGUUUAAAUGAAUUGAAUUUUUGUUUAUGAAAAAAUAUAUAAAAUAAUUCAUUAACUUAAUAAUUUCAUAUUAAACAAAUAUAAUAUUAAAGUCAAUAAAUUGACAUCAAAGAAGUUUUAUAAUAAUUUGUUUUUAUCAAAUAAGUAUAUAUCACACAGUUAAUCAAACGAAUUAAAUAAAUUUUAUUAAAAGUUCAUGCCAAAACAGAUUAAAAGAAUUAAAAACUAUUUUAAAUAAUAUCUUAUAUUUUUUAUAUUUAAUAAAAAUAAAAAUAAUACAAUAAUAUUUUUUUCAAAUACACUAAAUAAAAAAUUUACGCUUUUAGAUUUUGUUAAAAAAUAUUUUUACGCUUUUAAAACACGGAUCAAAAUCUAAUUUAGGUAAAUUACCGUCAGGUAUGUAACAUUUCAAUUGAUGAAACGAGAUAUUGAAACGGUCUCCGACACAUAAUUUUUUGGAUGAAUGAAAUUAAACUCGUGAUGUUAACUAUAUAACAUCGUAAAGUUGAGAGAUCUUGUCGUGCAUAAUAUAUACUUCAUGUACCUAAGUAUACAUUUGUUUAGUUUCUCAUUUCCCAUUUUUGUAUCUUUAUAGGUUUGUAUUACUUUAUCACCAAUGUUCUUGGGUAUAAUUUGAUUUUGUAUAUUCUCGUCUUUUAAUCUGGUUGAGAUCGUCUCUUUUUCUAACUAACAUCUAGAGCUGUAGAAGUUUCUGUAGGAACCUUAUUUUACUACCAUAAGACAACUGAUAUUUGUAAAUAAUAAUAAGAAAAUAAAUUAAAAUUACAAUAUCGAAAUACAAGAAUAAAGAAGAAUUGCAGAAUCGAGAUGAUUAAUCUCUUUCCUUAAAUCUUUAAAUGCCCUGUAGUGUGACGGUUUCAUAGCGCUCAGAUUCCCACGAUACAACUGCAGCAUUGUUUAUGUUUACCGUCAUUGAAAAUCAGAAUCUAUCGAACCUAAUUUUGUGUUGCACUCUUUGACACAAAAAAAUUAAAAAGAAAAAAAAAAUGACUUUUCAAUAUGGGAGAACAUUUUGUGUUGUGUUGAUCUUCUCCGUCCCAAAUGCUUGGAAGCAUUUAUAUAGGAAGAGGGAAAAUGAGGACACCAUUCAUACGUUUAAUACAAAACUUUAUGUUAUGAUUUCAUUCUUUCAAAACCACAACAAAACGUAAGAUGUGUAAUUAUGGGGAAUUUAAGUUACAUAUCAUAAUGAAAAUUUAUUUCCAUUGCGUGCUUGGACGAGAGUAGUACUAGGAUGGAUGACCUCCCGGAAAGUCCUCGUGUUGCACCCCUUUAAAAAAAAAAAAUUAUUUCCAUUGACUACGACUAUGUAACUUUCAAGCAAAAGAACAUUAUUACUAAUUUUGAUAAAAUCAAAGUUAAUAAUAUAUUUUGCAAUGGGUUCACAUUUUUAUAUUUAAACAAAUAUAAAAGAUAACCAUGAAUAUGAAUUAACCUUAUCAGACAUAAUAUCUAAUAAAUUUAAAUCCAAAUUCAAACCCAAAUAUCCAAAGUGAUAUAUUUGCUAAUUUUAUACUUAGCCAAAUUUAAGACUUUACAAGCUUUGUAAGACAUUCACUUUGGACCUCCAUUUCUCAUUCAAAACCAACUCUGAUUUUGACAUGUGGUUACACUAUUUCAAAGUGUCCACGGUUAUUCCGACGAACGUCUUCGCCCGAAAACUUUACCGAAAAUGGUCUUAAACCAUCUCGUUGAAAACGAGUUCCAACAAUUUCAACACAUGUUUUCUUAUCAUGAUUAUUAUUACAUCUAUUGAAAGAACACCUAAACAAGUUCCAUAGCGUUAUGCUUUUACCCUGAUUCAGAAGAUCAAAAGUAUAUCAUUUAUACAGUGCAAUGAUCUAUUAUAUUGUUUGAUGUGUCUCAUUACGGAUAGAUCUUCCACCUCUAUAUCCCAUAGACAUUAAAGCAAGUUCUUUAUGCAUGUUUGGAAUGCUUAACCUACAUAGUGUGGACCCGAAAAUCUCAGACCAGUUUACUGAAAUACCAAGCAGUGAAAUAUCAAAUCAUUAAUUUGUUCUGAGGGGCCUUCGGACCCGAUACGAUCCCGGCUUCGAUUCCGAUUGACCACUGGAGAAUUAACAUUUUGACAUCGCAAACAUGAGACUGACACGUGGACCGAUAACGUAAGCUGCAAACAUGUGGCUACUCCGGACCCACCUUUAAGGUGGAGGCCCUGAUACUUCCGUAUAAUAGAAAAACGAAUAUAUAUAUCAAACCGUUAAUUUGUUCAUGAACACCAACUCAAUAUCAACCUUUCGACAAUGAAUUGGGAUGCAUCGAAUUUGUCAGAAUAGAGUAAAUAUAUAAACACAUACAUCCAAAAAAUUUAUUAAUUUCACCAAUUCUGAAAUUCACAUGCUUUGAUGCUGAUAUGAAAGAAUUUUUCUCUCUGGCUAUUGCAACGAUCUACAAAGGUAGGGUGGUCGUUCGGGUACCCGUUCGGGCUCGGGUCGGGUAUUUCGGAUUUUCGGGUAUAGAGGUAUAGAACCCGUACGGGUAUUUCUGUACUUUGGGUCGGGUUCGAGUAUUUUUAGUUCGGGUUCGGUUAUUUCGGAUCGGGUUCGGAUAUUUAGAUUUUGAAAUUUUUUUAAAAAAUUUUCAUUUCUCAAAUUUCUUGUAUUAAAAAAUAUAACUUUCACUUAACUAAUUUUUUUAUUUUGAUAGAUUGAAUGGUUAAUAGAUUUGAACAUAAAAUUUUGAAACUAAAAAAAACAUUAAUUUGGUUAUUGUUUUUAAAUUUUGGAUGUAACUUUUUGUUAAUUAUUGAAAUAAAAAGUUUGACAUGCAUUUUAAGUGAGUAGCAAAUCAUUUUCUUGGUAAUUCUAUGUAUAUCAUAUGAACUUAAAGUAUGUAUAGUAUCAAUAUAAAUAUUUUAUAUAAAAUGAGAGAUGUAAACUAGAAAUAUAUGGUUAAUUAUACAUAUGUUCAGUUAUCUUCGGAUACCCGUUCGGGUUUGGAUAUCCAAUCUCUCCUAAUUCAAUACCCCUUCGGAUAUUUUGCUACUUCGGUUCAGAUUUCGGUUCAGGUUUUUCGGAUCAGGUUCGGGUGUGGCUUCAGAUAUCGGGUAAAGUGCUCACCCCUAUACGAAGGUAUACAUGAAACCAUGACAUUGUAUCAUAUAUCAAAUAUAUAUUAUUUUAAUAUUAAACAAUAAUAAUAAUACUAUAUCUGGAUAUAAGUUUCUUAUCACUUUUGAAAAACUGUAGUUUUCAAAACUUUAAAUAUAGGUAUACACUAGAAUGUGACCCACAUUUUUAAAACGCGGAUAUUUUUCUUUUGCAAGUCUCAUAUAAAUGUGUCAAAUAUUUGAACUUUCAUGUUUCAUGUAAAUAAAAUGAAUUUAAUUAGCAAGCUAUUAUGUCAUUAUAUUUAUAACAAUAUCAACCUGAAUACUUAUCAUAUAUUCUCUAUAUAUGUUUUAAACUUACAGAUAUUUAUCGUAUCUAUACUAUUAAAAGAUGAUCAUUCUAAAAAAUCUACUUAAACAAAGUUGUUGCAUCCUUUCACUAGCUAAUAAUAUUUUGAUCUUACCGUAAAUUUCGACUAACAAUAAGUUAUCUUAUACUUUUCUAACAAUCAUUUGGUCAAUACUUUUAUUUAUUAGGCCACAUUUUUUAAACGGUUACUAAAAUCCCUUCAAAGUGUCGGAACUUUUAUUUCACCCUUUUCAUUUGCUAAACGGUUAUGUAAAAUAUUAAAUUGAUACAAAUAUUCCAUCUACGAGAACAAGGUAUCAUACACUAUAUUUAAAAAUAUUUUGAAAAAAAAACCAUACUCAUAUAUAUAUUAGUACGCUGAUAUGUUCAAAAUUCCAAAUCUAUACUAGUAAAAAAGAAUCAUUUUCAAAAAUCUAUAUAAACAAAGUUGUUGCACAAUUUCAUUAACUAAUAAAGCUUUGAACUUACCUUAUAUUUCUCUAACAAUCAUUUAGCCAAUACUUUUAUUUAUUAGGCCACAUUUUUUAAACGGUUACGUAAAAUUCCUUCAAAGGGUCGGAACUUAUAUUUCACCCUUUUUUAUUUGCUUAACGGUUACGUAAAUAUUAAGAUUGCUAAAGAUAUUCCAUAUACGAGAACAAGGUGUCGUACACUAUCUUUAAAAAUAUUAAACAAACCCCACACACUCAUAUAUUAGUAUGCUGAUAUGUUCAAAAUUCUAAAAACUCAAUAUUUUGGUCUAUGUAAACACUACUCCCUCUGUUUUUAAAAUAUGCAUAUUCUAGACUUUUCACUUAUCUUAAGAAAACUCAUUAAAUAUGCAUUGUUUUUUGUGAAUAACAAUUUUUCAUAACUUUUACCAAAUAGAAAUUCAAUAAACACCAUUAAUUUUUUUGAAACUUACAAUUUUUCAUAAAAUCAUACAUUGAAAAAGUAAAAAAUGUAUCUUUUUGAAACAAUUUUUUUCCAGAACAUACAUCUUUUUGAGAAGAGAGGGAGUAUGAUACUAGAUGAUAAUCCGCGCACAUGCGAAGAGAAAGUUUAUACUAAUUUGUGUUCAUUAAAAGGUUUUAACAUUUUGCAACUUUACAAUCUUUAUCGAUUGUAAAAUGACGAAUACAAAUGUUGGUCUCUUAAAUGUAUUAUCGUUGUUGAAGAGUUAAUGUAUUACAUCUCAUUUUAAUUAUUUUUAAUACUUCAUAUGCAUAAAAACCAGAUAGGCAACAUCAAUUAUAAAAUGAUAAAAAAGAUUAGGUUUUCUGCCCUCGAUUUGCUUACUAUUGACUCUUCAUAAGUGAUUUUAUUUUCUACCUCUAUAAAAUUGUGUUUUUUUCUCGUUUCUGUUUCAAUGAUAUGAGUUUUGUUUUUUUUCUUUUUAAACUUUUUUCUGUGAAUUCGGUGAAUUACAUAAGUGUCAAUUUAAAAAGAUGGACAUCCAUAAAAAUUAGUUUCACUCCAGAUACAUAUCUAAGAAUCAAAUUUUUGAAGAAAAUCACCGGCAAACUCAAUUCAAAAAUUAGUAUUCAUAUCUAAUAUAUCAAGUUGUUAUAGAAUAUAAGUGCAUAUUCAAAAUAUAAAUGCAUGUCUAGUAUAUUCACCAGUUCGGUCUAAAAAUCAUCGAAUUUUAGAACGACAAAACAAAUUACUUAUUUUAUUAACCUACGCUAUUGAGUUUUAGUUACUUAAAAGUAUACUGAUAAAAAUAUAUAUAAUACUUUAUCAUUCUAGUGUAUGUAACAUAUGUAUAAACUAAGAACUGUUUGAUUUAUUAGAUUUAUUACAGAUAAACUAGAAAACAUAAUAAAUAGUUCAAAUCUCUUAUUCUUACAAUUAUAAUAGCUUGAUAAAGUAUUAGGGAGAAACAAUUAUUAGACGAAUGAUCAAAUCUCUCAUUUUUUUGAACAAACUCAAAGGGAGUCUUGUCAUAAUAUUUCAUUAAAGCUUUUUAGGAAUAAAAAUCAAAACUAAAAUAUUUAGUCUGAAUGAAAUAAUAUAUAUAGUGCUUUCAAUAUUAAAAAUUAUUUCGAUUUGAAGAAGUGUAUUUAUGGGAUUGUCAUGAACAAAUAACAUAUUAGAAACCACCUAUUUAAAAAAUAAUUUGUAUAAAUAAAAUUAUAUACAUUAGAGUAAGCACAUAAAUCAAAACCAAUAACUUUUGUUUAUUUAGAAUCAUGUUUUUGGAAAAUAAAUAAAAACAAUCAUUUUAUUUACUUUAUGGUAUACAAUUAAACUUUAGUGAUAGUGAUAUAUAUAUAUAUAGUAUAUUUUAAUAUACAUAUUUAUUAUUGACACUUUCUGCUCAUAAGAUUUUAUUAACAUUUGCAUGUUUGAUGUAACAAAAAUUAAACCGUUAAUCACAAAACUUUUAACCUGAGAUUUAUCGAUACAAAUUUCAAAAUUAAAACAUUCAUAUCUCAAUAAUUUUACAAUGUAAACUUUUAAAUUAACAUAUUUAUAUAUUUUUAUAUAGUGUAUAAUUUAAUAUAAAUGAUAUUAAUAUAUAUAAUAUGAAUAUCUAUUAAUGAGACUAAUAUUCAUAUGAUUUAUGAUCAUUUGUAUCUUGUUUGAACAAAAAUAGUUAAACCAUUGAUCACAACAUUUUCAGUGUGAAGCUUUUACAUUUUUUAAUAAUUUAUAGUCGUUUUAAAAAAUUCAAAAUAUAACAUAUAUGAAAAAUCUUUUUUCUAAUUAUAUGCUUAAUGUGAUUGUUUAAUUUUUUUAAUAAUAUAAUAUUAAACACAAAAGAGAGAGGAUAAUUUUUUUUUUAUCAAAUAUGUAUUAUUCAUAAUCAUUAAUUGUCAUAUAUAUGUUAAUUAUAUUAGGUAAUUCCAUAGCUUUUAUUUAAGGAAAUAAUUGAGAAUAUUAUUUUGUACACUACUAAUCAAUUUGAUAGUUAGUUUAAUAAAAAACAUAUUUUAUAUUUAUGUGGACCGACUUAUUUUUCUAAGGAUUCUAAGAAUCAUCAUAGUGAUGACACGUGGCUUACGAAAACAUGUUGUAAUGCUACAUGGUUAAUAUAUAGGGAAUUUUAACCAAUCUUGCAAUGAAAAACACUAUUAUUUAUACUACCAAUUCAAUAUAAUAUAAAAGUACACUAUGUUAUUAACUCGUGAAGAUAAAUUAUGAUAGGUAUAGCUUUAAUUCGAAAAUAACCUUAUCAACAAUAUACUGCAAUUGAAAAAUUAUACUAGAAUAAAUUUAUAAAUAAUAUCAUAUAUAUUAUCAUUCCAAAAUUAGUGUGUACGUACAAAAAAAUGUGUUACCCAAAAUUGUUAUACCAAAUUUGACCACUUAUAGAUCCGCUAACUAUUUUAAUAUUUCAUAAAAUAAGUAACUUAAAAUUUUGAGCAUUCAAAAAUAUCUUAAAAUUAUCAUAAAAAUCCAAAAUAAAUAAAAAUAUAAACUUAUAAUAGGUGAUUAAUAAAGAAACUAAUAGUGUCAUAUCAACUGAUUUUUUCCUACCACUAUUUUCAUAUUCUCCGAAUAACAUAUUGAAAAAAUUCAUCGAAGUCGAAGGAAUUAUAGUUUAUUCAAUUUAUGUAAUGUUAAAAAGUAUAUGAGUAAUUUAAUCAAUUUUUUUAUUUUUUUAUGUUUUAUAUCGGAUCAACCGGCAUCAGUUGCGGAUUAAUAGCGGGUUUUUGGAUUUUUACCGUAUUUUUACAAUAGUUUGUUUCAUUAAAUCCAAACCAGACUAUAUACGGGUCAUUGGAUCUAUCGGUUUGGCCAUAAGUCUAGAUCGGAUAUGAAAAUACUGUUUAAAACUGAAACAUUAUAAUAUAACAACUUUUAAAUUAUUUAUUUCUAAUAAAACUUUACAAAUUCAUUCAAAUUUUAUCAAACGGUCAACAAAAAAAUAUCUGCUCUUUCCAAGCGCGGAUCAAAAUCUAGUUUUACAUUACAAAAGAUGAAUCUUUGUUUAGUCAAUUAAGCAAUCUUGUCUUUUCUUGUGUCAACAUAAGUUUUAUUUCCUGUAAAUUUUUGAUAUUAGUUAUCUUUCUCUCGAUGGAUCUUGACUCUUAUAUGUUUGUUGGUGUUUGUUUCAGUCUCUGGAUUUUCUGGAAAUGUGGCAACUGCGCGAAGCCAAGUCUCUGUGGGAAUGGAUUUGCUCACUGGCUCUACCGUUAUGAUUCCUACUGUUAUUUGUGGAACUUGCACGGUUGUUGGCAAGUGUAACAUUUGUGAAACUAUGGCAAGUGUUCUUGAUACUUUUGAUGCGCUCAUGCGGUGUACUGAGACGGCGUUGGUAGCGUGUUUCUGAUAUUUGUUCUUUUUCUCUCAAUGGGUCUUGAAUCUUAUAUAUUUGUUUCAGUCUCACGGUAGCAGAAGAUAUUAACACUUCCUCCAACAUGGCACCCUGAGAUUCUAUAAAGACAAAAGGUAAAUUAUGUUCCUUAUUGUUUGGGCAUGUUCGUUUCUCCAUCCAGAUGGCUCAUCUGGAUGGAGAUGAGAGUUUUGUUUGUUUAGGCACUAAAAGUGCAACUCUUCCUGAUGGAUCAUCAGGAUGACUUUCAAAAAUUUAGGUUCAUUUUAAAGUUCAUUCAGCUGAACCAAUUUGAACCAUUUGGAUGGAGAUGGUUCAUUCAAUAUGGUAUAAUGUCUAUUAUACCCUUGAUGUAAUUUACAAAUUACAAACCUAAACAUAAUAUUAUUUUGUCAUACACGAAAAAAGACAAAACCACAAAAACGCAUUUUUCCGCGAAAAUCUAAAAACGAAUUUUUCACGUCAAAACCCUAAAAACGCAUUUCCGGACAAAAUUACAAAAACGUGUUUUAAUGCCAAAAUCACAAAAACGCGUUUUCACGCCAAAACCCCAAAAAGACUUUUCAGCCAAACACAAAACAAGUUUUCCGCGAAAACCACAAAACGUGUUUUCCCGCCAUAACGUGUUUUCCCGCCAAAACCGCAAAAUGUGUUUUCUCAUCAAAAUGCAUUUCCCGUCAAAACUGCAAAACACGUUUUCUCCUGAAAACCGUAAAACAUGGAAAACCGUAAAACAUGUUUUCACGCCAAAACGCAUUUUCCGGCGAAAAUCGUGAAAACGUGUCUUCCCGCGAAAACUGCCAAACGUAUUUUCCCGCCAAAACACAUUUUCCACGAAACCCGAAAAAUGUGUUUUCAUGCCAAAACCGCAAAAACGUGUUUUCCCGCCAAAACUGCAAAAAAGUGUUUUUCCGCCAAAACCGUAAAACGUGUUUUCUCGCCAAAACCGAAAAUUGUCGUUUUCCUGCUAAAACCGAAAAAUCUUGCUUUCCCGCCAAAACCCAGCCAAAACCAAAAAAAUUCAUUUUCCCGCCAAAACCAAAAAAAUUUCAUUUUCCCACCAAAACCGAAAACCGUGCUUUCCCGCCAAACCAAAAAUCUUGCUUCUCCGCCAAAACCGCAAAAAAACGUGUUUACCCACCAAACCACAAAACGUGUUUUCUCGCCAAAACUGAAAUUUGUCAUUUUUCGCAAAAACCGAAAAAUUUCGUUUUCCCCCAAAACCGAAAAAUCUCAUUUUCCUGCCAAAACCGAAAAACGUGUUUUCCUGCUUAAACCGAAAAAUCUCGUUUUCCCGCCAAAACCGCAAAAAUGUGUUUUCCCGCCAAAAAUGCGUUUUCUCGCCAAAAUCAAAAAUUGUAUUUUCCCGCCAAAAUCGAAAAAUCUCGUUUUCCUGUCAAAAUCGAAAAAUCUCGUUUUCCUGUCAAAACCGAAAAAUCUCGUUUUCCGCCAAAACCGAAGUUACAGUCGGUUUAUUAUUAAUACUCUUUUUAGUUUGAAACUUUAAGUUUUUUUUUCAAAUUUGUUUAUCAAUUUUUUUGGUUUAUUAGAAGUUAUUAUUGUAGUAUAAUUUUAACAUAUGAUUAAAUCAACACAAGGGUAUUUUGGUAAUUUAUUUACUAAACUCAUUUAGAUGGAAAUAAAAAUAAACAAACAAACAUAAGAUCCAUUUAGAUGAUUCAUCUAGAUGAGCUAUUUGAAUGGACAAACAAACAGUCACAAAAAUCUGAAUGGAUCAUUUGGAUAGAUCAUACAAAUGAAUCAUCUGGAUAGAGAUGAAAAAUGCUGAAACGAACAGGCCCUUUAUCUAUACUUUCUUUUCUAGAUUGAGUCAUUGUAAUUGGGGUUUUGCAUAGGGCAAACAAGCGAUGAUCUUACAAUAUACCUAAGGGAAAAAAGGUUCGACGUUACAAGACAAAGUUCUUGUCGCAGGUAAGAUAUUGUAGUCUCAUAUGAGCUUAUCACAACAGAGUUUGUAUCACAAAAGAGUUGUGUUUCUUCCACUAGGCUGUUGAUGAGACACUUUGGGUCAAACAUUCUCACUUUUCCGGAAGCAAAUACUGACGUCAAAAUGAAGGUGAGUACAUAAAAUGGUUUCAACCUAUGAUAUAAUCCAAAUACACGAGUUAUGUGAAACACAAAACACUUUUCUAAAUUCACCUUUUGCUUUAUUCGAAGGUUGAAAAGUUUUGACAUGAUUUAGGAAUUUCCACAUGGACCCUGAAGUUUACCCGGAUCCUAAAAAAUUUGAACCUUCUUGAUGGGAUGUAAGUUAGAUUUCUCUUCUUGCGUUAUUGGUGCCAAAGAAUGUUUGUUUCAUUUGAAUAUUGUAGCAAGUAAAAAUAUAGUACGCCUGUGAUUUUUCAGAAGGGCUUCAUCCCAAGCUGGUGCUUUCUUUUCUUUUGGUGCAAGGAUAUGAUCUUCCUAAGCUCGAUAUUUUAAUCUUUCAUCACUGAUUAAUUUCCUUCUUAAAUAUAAGUAAUUCUUGCAAAUUUUUAAUCUUUGAAAUGUCAUUCCUUCUGUAUUAUGCUGAAAACAUCCAUGGAGAUACUCAUGUUGGCAUGGUGAAACGGAGCAACAUCGAAUGUCCAGUGGUAUACUUGCCACAUACCACACCAACUGAUAAAUGCUUGGUAAGUAUCAGAUAUCAGUAAAACAUGAAUCUCAUCUUUCUCAUUAAGCUCAAAAGGAGAUAAUGUUCCAUUGAGUUAAACCUUUCUUCCGUUCAAAACUUAUGAGGCUACUUAAGUAUGUUCCAUGAAACAAGGCUAUUUUUCUUUUCAUAGGUAUUUUAUUUUGUAAAACUCUUUUAUCGUCUUCCGCGCUACGCGCGGAUAAUUGGCUUUAAUACAAUCUUAAUUUCCUAUCAUUUAACAUAAAUUAAGAGAUGGGAGAUGACAUGUACUAAUUUUGGUUGCUUAAAUGUUGCAUGUAGCUUUAGUUUGUUCCUUUUUAAAUUGUACAAAGAUUGUAUUUUAUAAGUUUGCCAAAAUACCAAAACUGAGUUCAGAAUACAACAGUUUGUUAAACUUUGAAAUCUUAAUUUCAGUUGGAUUUUUUAAAAGAUCAUCCUCUGGAUUAUAUUGGUGUUUAAUGCGUUCUUAAAAUAAAAUUGCGUCGCCGCUGACAAAGCGAGCAUUAAUUUCCUUGUAAAUAAAAGGCAUUACAUUUUAAGUUGUUAUUUUUACAUUUAUAUUUAACGGAUAAUGUUUUUCGGCAACUUCAUAUUUCCAAUUGUUUCUGUUUUUCAGUUCCCAAAAUAGAUAUACUUGGUUGUCUCAUAGUGAAAAAUCUUUACAAUCGUUGGUCUAUAAUAUAGUUUCAUAUAAGAUGUAACAUAAGUUAGAAAUAUAAAUUUUAUGUUUUGCAUGCAUCUGUUUUAAAGCAACUAACUCUAUGUUUUUUUCAGUUUAUGGACUGUGGCGAUUAAUUUAUUGCAUCAUGCUAUUUUUUUAACUAUAUUUGCUUUAGCUUGUGUAAUUAAUUGACUAUUUUAAUUUAUUUUGUUUGGGAAGAUGACGAUAUUAUUACCCCAGAAGAUCGGUGUUGUGAACUUAAAUGUUAAAUAUAAAUGAUAUGAAUGUGUACAUUAAUUUGGAAAGAUUUGAGGAUUUUUAAAUAAAUAACUUUUAUAAACAUUAAGUCGUCUUAUAAAUCGGUAAGUAACUGAUAGAUUAAAUAUUAUUAGUUUGAUAUUUCUAUGAGAAUUAAAUCCAAAAAAAGUUCAAAAAGACUAAUUGAUCAUCUUUGUAAAAGUAAUUUAAAAAAAAUCUUUUAGAAUAUUUAACAUUUACAGUUUUAACUAUUGAAUAACCACAAUGUAUCCAGCAAUUAAAAUCCCAAAAUUUAAACUGUAUAAUGAAAAUGCAACAAUUUCAAAUACUAUGGUGAACUUUAGAUUUUGUUUUUACAUUUAUAAGUCAAAAAAAUAUACACUACAUACGGUAAAAUAGUGGUGAAUAUAACUUUACAUUUUGGAUGUAUUUAGUCACAAAAAGAAGAAGAUUUGAACUGUACAUUUGUAAAUCAACAUAAUCUACACCAUAUUCUGAUCUAUAACUUUAUAAAGAAGAAAUUAAAUUGUCGUCAUGGACAUGUUGAAAAGCCUAAAUUUUAAUGUUAAAUAGUUUUCAAAUAAUAUAAUAACAUUAAAAUAAUUAAGUAAAAUACUUAUAUAGAAAGUUUGUGCAAAUAAUGCAGAAUUAGUUACAUAAAACAAUCAUUAUUUGAUUUGUUUCUAUAGAGAAAUAGAAUCAACUCAAGAUACAUCACACAAUGCCUAGAAAUGUUUUCUAAAAGUAAAAUAUUAACCAAUAUACUUUAUGAGGAUUUUAUGUUCAAACUCUAGGCAAAAGUUUGUAAACAAAAUAUUAGUUACAUAAGAGAAGACGAUGAUUGUUCAUAAAAGAACUUUCAAAGGUGUAUGCUUCCAAGUUCCAAUUUUAAACCUUCAUAGUUGUCUUUAUUGUAGAAUUGCGUAUAAUGCUCUGAAUCUUUGUUCAACUGCAAAGUCUCUGAAGCAAAUAGAGUAUCUCCUCAAUGCCAGCUCAGCAAAUGAAGACUUCACCAAGCUUAUCAAUACCCCCACCUUUGAAAAGAAGCUUGACCCCAAGCUUCUAUGUAUAGCACUGCUUUGUUUUUGAACUUAAACCACCAAUUCUUGCUUCUCCAUCGGUGCCAAAUGUUGUGAACUCUUUGUAGUAUAGUCCGAGCUAAUGACAGACCCAACAGAACCAAAACUCUGAAGCACACAUUGUCCUGCCGCAACACAAUGAAUCCACUGUGCAGCUUCUGAAGUAGAUGUGGUCUCUGUAUCUCUGAAAACUUUUGAUAUGAUCCCAAGUAAAAAUGGACCACUGUACCCAUGUAACACAGCGAGAGUAAGCCCAGUGUGUCCGCUUCACUAUUCAGUGUGCCCCUAUGAAGCAUGAGAUCAUAAAAUUGGUCUUCGGACUCAGUAACUUUAACAGCAAAUGGUUGUAACUGCUGAAACCUCCACUUAUGUUUCAGUUGGAACGUAACAUCACUCGCCAUAAGCUCUUUUAGCUCGUGUUGUCGCAUCUCCACACUGCCCAUGUCAUCACUUAGCUCGUCAGCCACAAAGAUAUGUAUCUCAAUGUCAAGCCAACUUUGUAGCUGCAUACAACCCAUCCCCCUGACUUACAGUCUUUUUCUUUCUUUCCAGCAAUGCCACAUGUGAGAACCGAAAUUCGCACUGUCGAUUUACGUUUAAAUUAGGAAACUAGGAAAACCCUAAUUUCCCAGAGGUUCCGGAUCUCUGCGAGAGCCAACGGCAAGUGACCAAAUAUAUGCGGAAAUCAUGAAAAGAUAACAAACGAGUUUAGAGAAAACAGUAGAUCUUAUUUCGAGUCCGCGUGAGAGAGUUGCGAUCAUUACAAGAGAUCAUAAAAGCUUUGGCCUCAAAGGCUGUCAGCGAGUUACCUAGUUCUAGCGGCCUAAAAGCUCAAACCUAGUUGACUCGCAGCUCGAUAACAAAAGACGAAGAAAAUACAGAAAAGGUUUUUGAUUGAUUUCAGACUGAACCUUAUGAAAGGCUGCCUACGUACCCCUUUCGAGGAUCAAGCCGAACGUAGUUCAAGAGUGAACCAAGAGAUCGAACUGCUUGUGCACGUUUGUCUGGUAAUCGGGUGCCAGUCAUGGAAACAGAGCAUGUCGAGAAUAAUGCCUCAGAGUUUCUAAGUGCCGAGAGUUCUGAGUCUAAAAAGUUGUCUCUCAUGCCUCUCGCCUAGGACUCCUUAUAUACUCGCUCCUAGGUCGGUUUACGCUUUUCCCCUUCUGCCCAUAAGCCGUCAUAGCCUAAAGAUAUUCCAUUUUUCCCAAUCUUCGUAAUUAUCUUCAAAAUUUCGUAUUUAUCUGCGGAAACUUGAUAUUUAUCUUUCUUUGUGAACCAAGCUAAACCGUCCCACGGUUUACGGGCUGCUGGUUAAGAAAUCGUAAGGUGGGUUUCGAGUCAUGCCUUAGGUCCCUUUGGGCUGUCUUUCGACUUGAAGCGUUUAUUACGACUUCUUUCGAUAAAAACAAACUUUCCGCGGUUUUUAUCGUAAAGUUUGAUUGAUGACUUCGAAUGGCGGAAAACAUGAAAUGGGUUCGCUACGGUCUUCGGGAGACAGCAUCGAAGGGUAGACGAGAAUGCAUGGAUUCGUGUCGUAUCGACGUUUCGGAAGAGCUCGGUCGCUACGUAGCGACCGAACGGAACGCACGCUCGNNNNNNNNNNNNNNNNNNNNNNNNNNNNNNNNNNNNNNNNNNNNNNNNNNNNNNNNNNNNNNNNNNNNNNNNNNNNNNNNNNNNNNNNNNNNNNNNNNNNAUUGUUAAUUUAUUAUUUAACCGCUGCUGCAUUUGGUAGUUAACCAGUCAUAAGUAUCCCGCAAACGCACCAAUUUCUUACCGCAGAACCAGUCGUACAAAUCUCUUAAAACCGUUAGAAACCGCAACCACCCGCAUCCGCAAACUCCCGCAACCGCUGCGGUUGAAUCAGUCAGACCCUUAAUAUCAGAUAUAUGCUAAACACAUGCGAUGAUCUGAUCAAAUAGUAGACGAGAGUAGACAUGUCCAGAUUUACUUAUUUAUACAUCCACCAUCUUUUAAAAAGAAGAUCACAAACCCACAGGACACCACCAAACAAACCAAAAGAGAUUGUAACAAGAAAGAACAAGUGAACAUGGAUAAGUAUGUGAAGAUUUGUGGGCUAGCCCUCAUCAUGGGGCUGUUGGCAGUCUUGGUGAUUAUUAUGACAUUUUCACUUAUCAAAAAGAUAAUUGAGAUCUUCAGUCUUUCGUUUUCGUAAUAAUGUGAUGGAUUAAUCUAAGAUAAAAAGACUAGGAUAGCAAUAAACCAAAUUUUUGUUCUCAAAGUAGCACUCAAUGCUCAAAGUCACAAAAAUAGGUUUCAUUAAAGAGGUAAAUAUACACUUAUACCCUUGGGUUAAUUAAUCCAAAUCUUAGGAUUUAGAGUUAAGGGGUAGGUUUUGGAAUUAGGGUUUAAAAUUUUAUAAAAAAUAAAUACUAAAAUAAAAAAUAAAAAUUUUAAAAACAGUUUCCAAAAGUAUUUUUAAAUUAUAAAACGAAAAUUUGAAAAAAAAAAUUCGAAAAAAAAAACUAUAAAAAUUUCGAAUCUGAAAACAUAUAAUCUGAAACUAUAAAAAAAAAUUCUUUUUUUUUUCAUUUUUUUUAUUUUUUUUAUUUUUAUUUUUAUUUAUUUUUGUUUAUUUAUUUAGUUUUAAACCAAGGGUAUUAAGGAUAUUUUACCCUUUAAUGAAUGUCAUUUUUGUGACUUUCUCUUUCUAGUGUCAUUUUUGAGACAUAAACUUCAAAAGGUGCUAUUAUUGACAAUUGCCCUUAAUCUAAUUCAACCUAUAUUCUUCUCUGAUCAUUGUAUCUCUGAGGAAUAAUAAUCAAUAUAAAUUCUUAAAAGAUAAAUGUUAUUUCGUUCAGACAAGAAUUAUGCAUAUGCUUGUUAGUUCUUUAUGUUAUAUACACAUCUUUUACUUUAUCCACUACAUUAUUUCACUACUCAUACUCAUGUAUGUUGUUUUAAUCGUAUACAACAUUAACUAAAAACAACCGAUAAAAACCUGACAUGUAAAUCGUAAAAAAAAAAAAAAACAGUUGUGAAUGAUAUAGAGGAACCGGUAAAAACUUAAGAUGGGCCUUAUUUCGCGGCCCAAAUGCAGCCUACAUGGGUAAGUUAUUUCUCCUACUCGCGCAACCUAGUAGAGCGCGUGGAUCUAACUAUUCAAGGAGCGUGGUUUCCCAAAAUUCAAAUUUAAAACAUUUUCAUCCCGCCACACUACACCAGUUGUGUUAUACAGACGCUUCCCAUUCCCUUUGACCUACAAAAAAAAAAAAAAAAAAGUAAAGACGCUUGCUUCUCUUGUUAGCUUCAAAUCUCUCAACUCUCUCUGAUCAGAUUAUGGUGUAAGCAAUCACAACAUCAUAGAUGGAUUUUCAUGCAAUGAAUCGGAAAAAUCUACAAAUCCUAUGUAAAAAGCAUGGGAUCCCUGCGAAUCUCAAGAACAUCGAGAUGGCUAAUCGACUCUCUUCUCUUAUUAUCCAGGUGAUCGCAACCGAUCCACAGUAAUUGAUUGGUUCUCGUGAUUUGUGUUAGGAUCGAACAAUAUAGAGGUUGAUUGAUUUUGUUUUGGGUGUUUAUUUAAUGUGUAGAAGGAAGAGGAGGAGGAGGAGGUAGUCGCUAGUAGAAAAGCUAAGAAAGUAAGAUUCAGUCCCGAGACUGAUAAUCAAGUUUUCGAAUUCACUCGAUCUGUGAAGAAGAGUGUUAGAACGCGUAAAGCUCCUCAGCUAGGUGGAUGUAUAGAGCUAAGGAGGUCGAAGCGAAGUGUGUCUAAGGGGAUAGGUGAUGAUGGAGAUGAUGUGUCAAACUCGAUAAGUUCUGUUGGUAGUGUUCAAGAUGACGGUUUAUUACCUGGAGAUAUAGAUAUUCAGGAGGAGAGACGGUCCACGAGACUGGCGGCUAGAAUUGAGAAAGCAUGCGUGGAAGGUGGGACAUCUAAGGCGGUAGCUUUAUUACCUGCUGCUAAGCGGUCAAAGCGAAGUGGCUCUGGUGGUAGUAGUACUCAAGAAGAGGGUGAAGAUAAUGAUUUGAAUGCUCCAGAACGGGUUGAAGAUAGAGAUGUCCAGGGUGGGAGACGGUCCAGGCGACUGGCUGCUAAAACUGAGAAAUCAUCUGAGGAAGGUGGGAUGUCAAAGUCGGUGACUUUAUUACCUGCGGCUAAGCGGUCAAAAGGGCUUGUAGACGUGGCUAACAAAGAAGAUGAAAGGGAAACAGGAGAACCUAAUAGGAAGGGUGGUGGUUCUAAAGUUGAGAUGGUGCGUAGGCGGUCUAUGCGGUUUGUGAAUGAGCAGACCAGUGCUCAGGAUCAGAGAAGGUCAGUGAGACUUCAAGCUAUUGUGGCAAGCCCAUUAACAGCAAAGAAUGAUUCAGUGAAGGCUUCAAGAGUAGUUAAAGGGAAUCUAGUUGAUAAGAAGACGGAUGAGAAUCCUGUCAAAUCGAAAAGAGUUACUAGAAAUAUGAAGCGGGGCAGAUCAGGAGAGCCAGAGGUGGAGAGUGGAGCUGCAUCAAACCAAAGCAAUCUGACGCUUAAGAAGACUUUGAAUGAGUUCGCUCACUUUGAGCAAGAAGAAGCUUGUGGAGCUGAUGUUAAAGCUGGAGGCUCUUCCAAGAAUCAAAAAUGCAUCGAGGAUAAGCCUCAAGGAAUAAUAAUAAUUGAGGACUCUCCUUCUUCCUCCAAAACCAAAGCUGCGGAAUCUGUUGAGAAGGUUUUCGAUCCUACACUGGAUAAAUCAGCUGAUAGUUCUCAAAGGUCAAACAGUCGAGAGAUUAAUUGUGAAUCUGUGGAAGGAGAUUGUGAAGAGAAACUUGAGCGAGAGACAGUUUCUAUGCCCGUGAUGGAGGAGGACAAAGAGGAAGUAUCACCACGCUCUCUAAGCAGUCCAAAAGAUAAGCUACACGUCCCUACUGGCCAUAUCAUUGUUCAGGAUAUUGCUUCAACAUUUAUAGCAGAGGAAAGUACCAAAACAAAGGACAAAACCCUUAUUUACUCUCCUGAAUCUGAGCUUAAGGAGAAUAGCUGUAUAGCUAAGUUAGCAAACGUUGAAGGUAUAUACGUUUUGAUAUGAUUUUUUUCCACGUUUAUGGGUAACUAAUCAUUUUCUAAUAUGUGCUUUCCUCUUAUGUUUAAUUUAAUCACAGAAAGUCUGGAAAACUCAACUGAACGUUGGAAAGAGAUUCACUCAGGCAAAGAUGAUGAGAAAGGUUCCUUGGAGAAUGAUGUACAAGCAGAAAAUUUGCAUGGGAACGUUUCUGAAUGCAAUACUGAGAGUAGCAGUGCAGAAGAAGAAAUGGAGAUUAGUAAGAUCGGUGGUCUGAGUGUUGCUCACUGUGUAAAUCUAAUACCAGAAAAAUUUGUGGGUGAGUACUCUCAGUUAGAGCCAGAAGAAGCAGAGCGGCCUAACGUGGAAGCUAGAAGCUCUUGCCAGAAAGUGAAGAAGAUAGUGGCUCAAGAAUUCGUAAAAGAUAAGCCACAAGAAAUGGCUGAGGACUCACCUUCUACAUCUGAAACCAAAGCUACAGAACCUACUGUGAUUUCUGAGAAUGUUUUGGAUUCUACACGGACAGUGUCAGGUGAGACGUCAGCGGUGAGAAACAGUCACGAGUUGAAUUCUGAAGUUUUGGAAGAAGGACGUGAAGAGAAACAUGAGCAAGCCAAGACUAAAAAAGACAAAGGGGAAACAUCAUCACUCUCUGAAUUUCUUACUGAGCGCUCAGAAGUGAAAACCUGCCUAGAUAACCGCAUCACUAGCUGUUCUCUAUCUGUGGAAGCUACUUUGUCUCCUGCUUCAGUACAAUUAGCAAUGAGCAACCCGGAAGCCGAUCUAGGCGUGCCUACUGGCAAUGAGGAGGAAACCCUUAUUUUAACCCCUACAUCUGAGCUUAAGGAGGAUAACGCUGUUGCUAAGAUAUCAAAAGUAGAAGGUAUGUACUCUUUAGUUCAUCUGAUUUAUACUUUUCUAUUACAGUUUUGCUAUCUAAUUCGUUUCUAAUAUGCGUCUCUUUCUGAUAUUUAAUUACAGCAAUCCUGGGAAACUCAGCUGAAUGUUGCAAAGAGGAUGAGAAAGGUUCCUUGGAGAAGGAUGUCCAAGCAGAAAAUUUGCAUGUAAACUUUUCUGAAUGCAACACUGCGAAGAGCAGCUCAGAAGAGGUGGAGAUUAGCAAGGAUGGUAGUAUGAGUGUAAAUCUGACACCAGAAAAACUUUUGGAUACGUACACUCAAUUGGUGCCAGAAGAAGCAGGGGGACCUAAUGUGGAAAUUAGAAGCUCUUCCAAGAAAAUGAAGAUAGUGAGUUCAGAAUGCCCAAGAGAGAAUCCACAAGGAAUGGCUGAGGAGUCGCCUUCUACAUUCGUGACCAAAACUGCAGAAACUCUCAUGAUGUCUGAGAAUUUUUCAGUUGAUAUUUCACCGGUGGGAAACACUCAAGAGUUGAAUCAUGAACUUAGGGAUGAAGAACGUGAAGAGAAACAAGAGCUAGACAUAGUUCUGGUGGCUGAGACAGAGAAGGAGAAAAAGAAAGCAUCAUCACCAUCUGAGCUAUUUGUGGAAACCACUCCACCUCCUCCUUCUUUAGUACAGAUAGCAGUGAGCAACCCUGAAUCCGAGCUAAGUGUGCCUACUGGACAUAUCCUUGGUAAGGAUAUUGUUUCAGCAGUUAUUGCUGAGGAAGCUAUUAAAACCGAGGAGGUUUCUAAAUCUGUGCAGAGCUUUGUAGCUAAAUUUGCAGAAACAGAUGGUAUGUCCUCUUUUUCAUUUUUUGUAAUUUUUUGCUUUUAUGGUCAACUUUAUUCUAAUCUGGUUUCUUUCUGACGCUUAAUCACAGCAGUCCUGGAAAAUUCAGCUGAAUGUUCGAGCAAGAGUCUUUCAAGCAAAGAUGAUGGUAGAGGUUCCUUGGAGAAGGAAAAACAAUCAGCAAAGCUACAUGGAAACUUCUCUGAAUACAACUCUGAGAAUAUCAGUGCAGAAGAACAAGCAGACAUCUGUAAGGUUGGUCGUAUUAGCCCUGGUCAUUGUGUGCACCGGGAGACACUCGACGAGGUCGAGGAUGAGAGUCUUAUGAAAUCUGUGCAAACAAUUUCUAGUGCGAGAGGUUGUAAACCAAAUGCGUUGGAGCUAAGUGGAUCGUUUUCAACUGACUUUGCUUCCCUUUCACAUAAGAAAGAGAACGUUUCAGAUUGUUUGGAGGAAGAGGAAAUGAAAGCUUUAUCCCAACCUAUACCAAUACAAAAGGCUGCUAGCAACGUACUUGAGAGGUCGUCUCUAUUCACUACUCCCGAGAGGAACUUGAUGUUAAUGGAGCAACAGAGCGAAAGUGGAAAGAUCUGUGAAGCUGAUAUAGUGACCCAGCACAAUGAUGAAGCAGUAGAGUCUCAUGCUGUUGUUUUCACAACUCCUGAAAAAGUUUUACUGCUGGGUGAUUCUUGGCUAGAUGAUGUGGGAAAGGAAGGGGAACAUACAGCCAGAGACUUUCCGGAUGAAUCUGAUGUUCUCAAUACCAGCGCAAAUGAAGCUUUUAAUGAAGGAGAAAGAAUAGUAGUUGAGCUUCAUGACGAGUCUAACAUUCCCGCAAGCCCACUGAGACAUUCCAGGGUAGGAAACUUCAAAGAAGAAAGAACCGAAAGGAAUGAAGAAAAAAGGACGGUUGAGCUCCAUUUUGAAUCCGGCACUUUCACUGGACCGGAUAAACAUGAUGGAGCAGAGAAUAGUGAAGGAAACAAAGCUAUGGAGUUAUAUGAAGAAUCUGUUGAUUUCACUGGUCUGGAGGAGAGACAUGAGCUUUUUAGGGAUUCUGGAAAAGAUAAAGCUAGAGAAGAUGAACUCAAGAUGGAUGCACAGUUCUAUGAGGAAGCUGGAUUAUCCACUGAGAUGCACAAAGAUCUACCUUUAGCAGACCCUGAACUAGGCGAAGCAGGAUGGCUAGGAAUUAAUAAUGAUGACAAGUCAGGUAGCCUGGAGGGAAAACUCUUAUAUGGAGACUCUGAACAAAAGAAAGCAGAAAAGGCGCCUGCAGAGUUUCAUGAUGAGUCUGCUGUUCCCAGUAUCCCAGAAAGACAUCCAUUCCCGGAAGAGUCUGAACUGGAAGAAGCUGCAAAAAGUGAAGAAAACAAUGCUUUGGAAUCGCAAGCUGACUGUGACAACUUCACUGACGCCAUCGUAAAUGCUAAGUCUCAUGAUAUGUCCGAUGUUCUCACUGCUCCUGAAAGCCACUCUAUUAUGGGAGCCUUUGAGCCAGAUGGAGAAGAAAACAAGGAUGUGGAAUUGUUGGGUGAAUCUAACAUUUCCACAAACGAAGAGUCUGGACAAGAUGGAAAGAUAAAAUAUAAUACAGCAGCCACUUGCGAAGAGUCUUCUUUUUUCAAUUCUCCAGAGAGGCGACACCAUCUAGGAAACACUGGACCACACACUGCUGGAAAGCAAGAACGAAAGGAAGUGGAGUUCAAGGACGAGUCUGCCUUCUUCACUAGGCUCGAGACUCGUUUACUUUUGGGAGAGUCUACUCAGGACCGUCUUGAUAAUGGCAAGUCUGGCUCAGCCAAGUAUCAAAGCCAUCGUGAUUCUUCUCGCAAAAUGAUUUUGAAGGACGACAGUGUGGCUCGGGAAUGUCAAGUUGCAGCUCCAGAUUUCAGAGAAAACACUAUUGCUGAUUUUAGUGGUAGUAUCGCAUCGAAAGUUUCUUAUAGCCAUGAGUUCAGUGCCGGGGAAGUAUCUGCAGGUGCAGAGUUUAUGCCAAAAGCUUCUCAGGUAGAAAAUGUUGCAGGUCUAGAUGCCACACAAGGGACAUCAAAGCAAAGCAGAGGGAAUUCUCCAAAUGUCGACACAUGCCAUUCUAUGGAGGCUGACACAAUCAUGGAUGCAGGAAGAAACGUUUCCUUCAGCUCCUACGUUCUUUCCUUACCAGCUGAAGGUAAUUCCGAGACAAUUGGUGAAAUUUCCAACCACAUAGAAGUUGCUGGAACCUGUUCGUUGGUGUCUGGUGAGAAAACUUUUCUUUAAAUUCUCAUGGAUUUAGUAUAGCCUAAAGCUAUUAUGCUCAUGAAUGUUCUUUCUUUUUCCCUACGAUGCAGAAGAAUCUGGCCCUUCCACAGACAUUCAGAAUCAGAUACAUGAUGCAGUGGAGGAACUGGCAGUAACAGGUAACUACCACAUUAACACUUAUUUUUCAGCAUCACACACUUGUUUUUGGAGGCAUACAUAAGUGCAAGAUAUUUAAAAUAUUUCCAAUCAUUUGUUGACAAUAUUGACGUAGACGAGAUCGUAGAUGCAAAAUUAAUCAAGAACAGUCAAAGUGAUUCGAAGACAAUUAGCUUACCAGCGGAAGGUGAUUCCAAGUCAAUUGGUGAAAACUCCAGCCAACUUGAAGCUACUGGAACCUGCUCCAUGGUGUCAGGUGAGAAACUUUUAUAAUUUUGUUAAUAUGAAGUCUAGAUCAUGUGGCCUAAUCAUAAGUUUCCCUUUUUUUCUAUUGAAUCAAAAUGCUCUUAUAUCUUUCUUCAUCCCUGAGAUGCAGAGAAAUCUAUCCCUUCCAUGGAUAUUCAGAACCAUAUAAAUGACGCACUGGAGGAGGAACUGGCAGUAACAGGUGAUUAGCACAUUAACACUCCUUUAUUUUCAACAUCAUAUUUUUCUUGAAGACAUUGAUAACUUAAAAGAUCUUUCAAUUAUUUCCAAUCAUUUAUAGACAAUAGCAAAGCAGACGAGCUCAUAGAAGCAAAAGUAACGAAGAACGUUGACUCUUCAGAUGGCUCUGGAAAGACAUGCGUCUUAACUGGAACAGAGGAUGAGCACUUAUGUUACAAUUCUGAAGUAGCUGAUCCUGUUGAUACUGCAUUUGGUAAAUUUCGUUAUUACAUCUAAGCAAUUUCCAGGUGUUACUAUGUUUGGAUACUCUUGACUAAUUCAAUUCAAUCUCACAGAGAAAGACAUCUCUCUGACUCCUGAUGAAUCCACUCUACAGAAAAACAAGAACCAAGAAGGUUAGAUUUCCACAGAUCUUGCCACUCUUAAGUAGCUAAAACAAUGACUAACAAUUAGAAUCAUUUUCGUUGUUAUCUUUUAGAAAUAUCUGCAGAUGAUGAAAUGCUCAAGAGAGAAGAUACUCCCAGUCCUGCAGAGACCUUUAAUGAGUCAUCUGAAAACAUUGGUGAAUCAUCUGAGAAGCAAGUAAGAAGAGAACAAGUCUUGUUUUACAGAACACAAGCGAAACCUAAAACGCAUGACAUGAAAGAGAAUGCACCAAACUCAAAGAUUGUGGAUAAUCUUAACGUAACAGCUCCAAGGACAUCGAAGAGACAGCCGCUCCAAGACUUGAGGAAGAACUAGAAAGACAGAGAAUCGGCAUAACUCAUGCACGUUAGUCUCAAACUUCCCUUAUUUGCUUUGUGACAUGUACGUCUAGUAAACCUUUCAAACUUGUUUUAUUUGCCUGUGUGUUUUCAAAUAAUUAAAAACCACUCUGGCUUUUGAUUUAUUGUGCAACAAAAGUUACCAUUAAAAUAAUUAGUUGUAUAUUGUAAACAAAGGUCAGAUAAAAACAGAUCCCAGCGUCUAUUCUGUUUUUAAAGACUGGUCAGCUUAGCUGACUCAGCUAUUAAUAACUAUUCACUUCACAUCACAAUUCACUGUGACGAAACAACCAUGGGUGCACCUUCUCCUUCCAUAAGCCUUGUGUACCAUCUCAGGCUUGAUGAAGAAACAGGUUACCGCUGGGCCUCGCGGAUGCGGCUCCAACACUGCUCUAUGAUUCAGGUUACACUUGGAGAGGGACGCUGAGAUAUAGCUCCUCUCCUCUGUUACUAUUGCUUGAGAAUAAAGGAUACGUUUACUCACAACAAGGUUUUUCAAAUCUGGCAUACAUAAAUUUCAUUUUUUUUCUCAAAUCCAGACAAUCUUUUAUCCUUGUCAAAUCGAUGAACUACUACACGAGAACAUGGCUAACCCCUAAGCCCUGCCGCAAGUCAGGGACAUUAGAAAAAAAAAACAUACCAACAAAUGAAAGAGAUCAUGAUCCAUAACUAAGUCUUCACUUCAAGAGAAUCUUCAAUCCAUUGAACAAGUUGAUUCGCCGCCAAAGCACCCUCCUGAAAAGCCAUAAGCUUCUUAUAAGCCUAAGUAAAAACAAUAAAACAAAAGACAUUUAAGAAGUGAAGGAAACUCAUCAUACAAAUCGGUCACAAGGCUCCCCAUCUUUGAAUAAGAUAAGCGUAGGAAGCGCCUCGAUCUUGUAUUUAUUAGCAAUACUCGGAUACUUCUCAGUAUCAAUCUUCACCACCUGGAUCUUGUCUUUCAAUGUUUCACUCACUUCACUGAGAAUCGGAACCAUGAACUGACAAGGGCCACACCUGCCACAAUAAACAGGCUACAUUGCAUCCCAAACCACAACUAACACUAGUCAGAGAAAACAAAACUCACCAGGUCGCGUAGAAGUCGACAAGAACAGGCUUGUCAGAGUUCACAAGGAGAUCAUCGAACGAGUUAUAUGUCUGCUUCUUUGCUUCAAUCUGUAUAGUAAUAAACACGACAUUGGUUCGUCAGUGAGCUCAAAAGUAAACCGAGAAGUAGAUAAAGGAACCCACUUUAAGCACAUCCAAAGCCUUAUAGACUAACCCUUGACACGUGCUUUAGAUAGACUAGUUCAUGUAAUAAAAUUAAGUUUAGUUUUCAGACAGAACCUAAACUGUUUUAAACAAGGUUAAGAAACACAAGAAGGUAGUUUACAGGGCGAGGAGUGGAUCGAGUUGAUGAAGAUAGCGAGGAAAGGUUUAAGUCUCCGGUUCGAAUCCGGCGAAGUGGGAACUGGAAUUUGACGGCGGAGAUAGAGCGCGGAGCGAGAGCAGGAACAGUAGACGAGCCUUUCCUAUUCAGAGAUAGGAUUGUAGAUGGUGAGAGAGAAGUAGCCGCCAUUGAAACGAUCUCGUGAUUCUGAUUGAAGGUAUGAUCGUUAUGAAAUGCUAUUUGGGUUUUGUCCAAAGAAUGUGUGAAGGAAAGUCACAGAAGGUAGGAGAAAGAGUUGGUGAUCCACUACGGUCGAGUGCACGGUGUAUUUAUUUUUAUUUUAUUAUUUGUUUUGGGCCUGAUGGCCCAAAUAAACACAAACACGCAUAGAACAUCUUCUCUCAACCCAAACCCAAUUAAGUAAUUCAUAUACGGUAACUUGCUCGUCAGUCAUCACAUGCAUGUAACAUACACAUAGAGUAAAAAUCUCUAUAAAUUUGUUUCAUCAACUAUUUUGCUAAUAAUUAUUUUUUAUUUAACAUUCAGGAUUAUUAGUUUUAAAAAAAAAGAUAUAGACUAAAGUCUUGAAAAAUUCUCUCAAAUAACAAUUUUUAAGUUUUUGUCACAAAAAUAACCCCAAAAAAUGAUCAAAAUAGCUAUUUUUUAUUUUGAAAUUUUUAAUAUUUAUUUUUUAUUUUAAAAAUUUUGAAAUCUUAUUCCCAAAAUCUCACUCAUUAACUCUAAAAUCUAAGUAUAGGUUAAUAAAAAUAUAUUAUUAAUAUUUAAUAAAAUUUAUUUUGGUAAUUUUUUUUAUCGAAUGCUAUUUUUGUGACAAAAAUUUUAAAAUGGUUAUUCUAUGGAAUUUCUUUUAUUUUAUAUGAACAAAAACCUCAAGGACUUGGCUUCUCUUACAACCACAAUGCAAUGUAUGGUCUUCGCUUAUCGUGGAAGUGUUCUUAACAACAAUGCAAUGUAAGGGUAUAUGCAUAAUGCAUUAAUUGGUCAUUGUUUUAGUUUCCUGAAGAGGAAGUAAAGAAUAUAUUCUUGUGUGGGGGCUCUUCAAAGAUACUUACCUAAGAGCAUGAUUAACCCAUAUACCCAUUUGGGUCUCUUAUUCAUUAUUUUAGUAAUUAAAAACCUAAGUAAGAAACUUCCUGAUUUAAAUAAGGUCAAAGAACUCUCUCAGGCACACACUUCGAGGUCUCUCCAAGAUCUACUUUAUCCGGCGCCGGCGAAGCGGUUUCUCGUCGGCGCGGGGUACUAUUUCCGGCGUGUUGCUAGCUUUCAUCUUCAUGGCUCUGUCACGCAUCCUUUUUUGUUUGUCACUACAUCGCUUCUGUUGGUCAAUCGAAGGAGAAAGACACCUACGGAUUCAACGACGAAGCCGAGGACUCUUCGUCUCAGAUCUUCCGGCGGUCUCUCUUCCUCAGAUGGCCUCUCCCCCAGCGACGAGUCGAGAGGGUUCUCUCACCACCGCUGUGUUCCGGUUCUCAGGGACAGUUCCCGAUGAACCUCCCUCUGGCUGCCGUGGGACAGGUUAUGUUAUCAACUUUGUCCCGUGCUUUCAUAUAUCUUUGGAGCAGAGAUUUCAUCUGAAUAGCUCUUCCUUUCUUUCUUCGGGAAGGCUUGAGCCUAUUAUCACACCACGGUUUGCUCCUCUCCAGUGUUCAGGCACCAGAUCUCAAAGCUCCACGAGAUUAGAUCCGAAUUUUGUCGGUGGUUCUUCACUUUACUCAUUUCCUAAAGUGGUGCUCUCCUCCUAUGCGUGGAUCCUCCUAAACGGCUAUACUGUUCCUCUUCGACAAAGCUUCUCCGGUGACCUCUUCCACGGCACCGUCGAAUGGCCAAGAUCCGACGCGUCUCGCUCCGAGCAGGUUGUGGGUAGUGGGCUGGAUUUCAAUUACGUUUGGGCUUGGCCCAUCGAAGCUACCAAACCUGCCAGCCCAAAGUUCAGCUUGAUAAAACCCAAAUUCAAGAAAGAAGAUGCAAUUCAUAUUACAAUGGGUUUGGGUGUUUGGGUUAAAUUUAUAGAGAUUUUCGGUGGGUUCACUGGAAUCUCUUUUCAAUGCAUAUUGCCAUAUCUCUCCUUUGGGAUGAAUUCACCGAUGGGUGCACCGGUUUGGGACUCGAUUUCACCAUCCUUCUCUCGUGAGAAGUGUCCUUUACCACCAUUCCUUCUUUCCAUGAAAGGAGAUGUUUUCUCGGUUUCAUUAUCGAGGUAUAGUUUCAGCUUCUUCACCGUUUUGUCAUCUUGUGUAGCGGUCUGUACGGGGCCAGAAGAUGCAAUCGAGUCUACUGCGGUUUUUCUCGUAGGUGAGAACUGGCUCUCAACGUCACUUGUGACUAUCUUUCAGCUAUCCGACUUCGUCGUGAAAGCCUUAUCGACGCAGUUAAGCUUGGUCUUGAUUUCGCUGUCAUCAUCUUCUCUUGAAGAAUUAUCCUACUUAGCUUUCUUUAUUUGUGUUGUUUAUGCUUUUAGUGAAAGAGGAUGUCACAUUCCUUCAUGUUAUUGUAACCAAACAAGUUAAGUCUGAAUGAAAUUAAGUUGUGUUCAAAAAAAAAAAAAGAAACUUCCUGAUUUUGGGUCUCCAAUGGUAGUCUCUUCUUUAGGGGUUUUUAAUUAAAAAAAUAUUCAUCAAAAUGUUGAUCAAAAGAUCCAUAAUCCUAGACUAACCUAACACAUUCCAGACAAGAUUCAAAAUCUAUUCAUUUCAGACAAGAUUCUAGAUCAACAUCAAUGUGAACCUACGAAUCUAGACAAUGCUCUUUAUAAAAAAAUUCUAAUCGAUUUAAAAGACCAUAGAAUUAUGAUUUACCUGUGUUGCAAUUGUUGUUCUCUUGUUUGCACUAGUGAUUCCGUGAACGCAGACAUCAGCUUCAACGAGACAGACAUCCUUGAGCAACAGACCAGUACUUGGCUUCAACCAUUGAUACGUAUUAAACCCAUCCGUUCUCCAAGCUUGAUCCACUGAACCAUUUAGUAACGGUAAAACAAGAAUAAAGUUACAGAACAAGAAGUGAAUAUUAGGUUCACAUAUCAAGAAUUGAGUUUAUGGUUGUUACCUUUCCCUGCAAUGUGUCUGCUUUGAAGCUGAUCAUAUAUUCCUACUGUAUCUUUGUACCGUCUGAAACAGUUUCAUCUUCUGCGAGGAUCAGAUAUAUAGAAAGAAUCAACAGAGCAGACACAAACCAACACAACAACAAAUCAAAAUAACAUAGAGGGAGCAGAAUCUAAGACCUGCAUGUAUUUAAGGAUUCCGACAUAGCUUUACCUUUCGAUGGCACUCAUGGCAGACUGAAGGUCUUGUGCUGUUCCAAAAGAGACGAAACCAAACCCCCGAGACCUCCCGCUGUCUCUUUCAUACACGACUUUAGCACCAAGCACACCAGGUUGGUUUGCAAAUGCAUCUUUCAGACCUUGUGAGGUUAGAUUCCAACCGAGGUUUCCUGCAUAGAGCUUGUGAGGACUGUCAACAUAUGGGUUGAAACAGAUCAACAGCAUCAUUCAGACAAGAACAGAACAGUUUCUCAAUCUCUCUUUGUAAGAGACUUUCCCCACUUUUCCGAGACUAGAAAAGGCUCGUUCAGACAAGAACAGAUACUCUGUUGAUAAAAAAAAGACUUUUGGUAAGAGAAUCAAAAACAAAUCUUUUUCAAUUAACUCAUAGAAUCAAGUUUACUUCUUUGCUUUACUUCAUGUCUUCCUCAACUGAAGCUUUCUCUCUCUCUCUCUCUCUCUCUCUCUGGUUUGUUUCUCCUCUGCCCUAAUCAAUUAAGCAAUCAAGGUACCACCUGUUUCGAAAAUCGCCGCCGGGAAUAGGAAAACAAAGGAAAAAGGAGAAGAGAGUCCGGAGAACGACGUGUGUCCAGAAGAGACGGUCUCUUCUGUCUCUUGAUCAAGAGACGUUCCUGAGGGUAAUUGCUAUUUUUUAUUUUCUUUAAAUCCUAAUAUGCUAAGAGACUCGGCUUAAGGAACCCCGUUAAAGAUGGCCUAAUAACCUAAUUAAAAAACAGAUGCUGCUAAAGAAAGAAGCAGCACAGGUUAAGAAAAAUGGAGCUUGAAUUAGGUCUGAAGAUCACUAGGGCAAGAGACAACGAUGUCUCUUCCUCUACAGAUUUCAAGGUUUCCAGAGAUGUGUUUGGUCAGCUCUGGCAUUCUAGAGAAACCGAUUCUGUGUUCAUCCUCACUCUUCACCUAAAAGGUUUCAUCAUAUAAACCUAUAUUGAAAGUUUCAUGCACAUUUUUUUGAGAGAGAUUAAAACUGAAAACUGAAUGCAGGAUUCAAGAAGGAUGGUAUUGGUACUGAGAUAAACAAAGAAGGGGAUAUGCUUACUAUAAGAGGAAGGAAACAAGUUGAAGAAAUGGUUUUGGUCAAGUGGGUGAAGUGGAGAAAGGAAAGUGAGAUUAAGGAGUUCAAGAAAGUGUUUAGGAUUCCAGAUAUAGUCAAUCUUGACAAGAUCAAAGCUAGGUUUGAAGAAGAAGACGGGACUUUAACAGUUACAUUUCCCAAGAAAGUUAAGGGAAUAACCGGUUUGAAGAUUGAGGAAGUGGAAGAAGCAGAGAAAACAGAGGAAAAAAACAGAGCUAGAAGAAGAAAUCAAAGAGGAGAAAGAACCUGAGGAAGAAGCAGAAGAGCCAAAGAUGGAAGAGGAAGAAGAAGAGAUAGUGGAGGAACAAGAAACAAGGGAUCAUGAGGAAGAUAGAGAAGAAACCGAAGAGAAAGAUAGUAAACCAAAAAAGAAGAAAAGAAAAAAGUUAUGUUUUUCAUGUGUUGCAGGAUCUACUCUGCUUAUGUCAAUCAUUGUUUUCAUUAUUCAAUUGAUUCAAUCCAAAAGAAAAUGAGAUUAAUCCUUAGGGUUCUUUAGGAUAUGGCUCUUGUUUUUAAGGUGAAGAAGAGAGACGUCAGGGACAAGGAAGAUCAAUACUGCUUAUGUCACAGUGUUACAAGUUCUAACCAAAGCACAUGCAGUAUCAUCUUUUUCAUUUAUUCAAGAUUUAAAUCGAAAUGUAAACUCAAGAUACAUUACCAUGAGACAUUACAGCCUCUACUUAGAACACAAGAGAGGAAACAGCUUAACAACCUUUAAGCCUAUUUAGAGAACUCAAUGACCCGUAAAUGAUAUGCAGGGCAUACAAAUUUGCAACUUGCAAAACCUGAAUUAGCAGCCAUAGCUUCAUACUCAGCUUUUGUUCUCUCUUUUCCUCCAGAGAGUUGUGUGAGCAUCAACAAAUCCAUAUCAAAUGCAAUGUUGGCCUGCACAUCUUUACUCUCUGCCUCAUCUGGAAUAACUAGCUCCAUGAUUAUCACUUUCCCAUUCUCCGGUAAUGCCUUCCAGCAGUUCUUGAGAAUCUUUGCACAGUCCUCAUCAUUCCAAUCAUGAAGCAUACGCUGUAAAAUAUAUGAAGUUAGUAAAUAUAAAGAAUAAAACACCUGAAAAGUAUUAACAUAUUAGACAAGAGUAACAUAUGAAGUAAGAAUAAAGUAAAAAAAAACACCUGAGAAGUAUUAACAUAUUAGACAAGAGUAAUAUAUGAAGUAAGUAUAAAUAAUAAAACACCUUAAGAAGUAUUAGCACACUAAAAAAAAAAAAAAAAAAAAAAAGUAUUAGCACACUAUACAGGAGUAACAUAUGAAGUAAGUAUAAAGGAUAAAAAAACUUGAGAAGUAUUAACAUAUUAAUAUUAGAUAAGAGUAAGUGUUUGUGGCUGUGUCUUACUUUCAAGAUGAUAGCAUCUCCUCUUGGGAUUUCUACAAACAUAUCUCCAGCCACAUGCUCCACAUUAGGAUAAGAAGGUGCUUGUGCCAAAGCACAAGUUAGAUCAAAAUUAAUACCCUUAAUGUUCGGGUACUUUGAAGUAACAAAACCUAGUGUGUUUCCAACUCCUCCUCCUACAUCAACCAACACAUUGAUUCCUUCAAAACCUUUAUAAACUUCAAGAAACUUCUGCAUAACUCCAACGCUGAAUCCAGUCCGGUUAAAGAGUUUGCUUAGUCUUUCAUCUGUGCCCAUGUAGUCAAAGAGCUUCAACCCACCAUUGGCACGAGCAAAUGCAUCUCCUCCUUCUAGCACCACAUCUUUCAACUGUGCCCUGUAAAAGAGUAAACCAUUUUUGUAAAUUAUACUCCCUAUGUUUCAUAAUGUAAAUUAUUUUACAUGUAAAUUAACUUUAAAUUUUUAAUUUAAGAUAUAAACUAGAUAUAUUUUAAUAAAUAAAAAAACAGCAUAAUUUGGUUGGUCAUAUAUCCAAUAAAUAAAAAACUGCAUAAAAUGUGAAAAUAACUUAUAUUUAGAAAAAAAAUUCAACAACUUAGAUUAUGAAAUAAAAAGAGAAUACAGAAACUGUAAAUAAAUCAAGAAAGUAAUUAUUACCAUGUGUUGAGGAAGACACUAUCAAGUUCAAGAAUGAACUGAGAAGCAAGUGUCCCCAUUUCUUCGAUAUUGUAUCUCAAGAAAUACUUACAAAUGGGCUCAGCUUUGUACACCCUCUCACCGUCUACUAUCUGACACUUGACCAUUGAGUAACUGGCGAGUAAACGAAGCAUACGGUCCAGCAAAACCGGUGCUUCAGGGUUACUAGGCGGUGUGGGAAGCCGAGUAGCUAUCUCAGACGGUUUGAGGAACGAUCCAGAUCCAUUGACGUCAUCACGAGCAGCUAAGUAGAGAGCGUCGAUGACACCGAGCUCAAUGGCGGCUUUGAAAACCAUGGGGAAGGUAAUGUAAUUGGCUAGCCUCACUGCCCUCAAACCAAGCUCGGUCUCAUCAUCUCCAUUAAUCUCAUUCAUGGUUUUAGGGUCUAAAAGGUGUCCCAUUAUUGAUUUUGCUUUCUCCUCGGUGAAGCUAAUGUUCUAAGAUGAAAAGAAAGAGAAGAG